rnacentral:rRNA from 1 species
UAGUCCUUUUAUUGAGGAAUAGAAUGAAUGGUUUCACCGACUAAGAAGUUUUUAAUAAAAAUAGAAUUUUUAUUUUAGUGAAAAGACUAAAGUUUUACAUUUAGACGAUAAGACCCUAUGAAGCUUUACUAAAUUUUAGUUUUUUUGGGGCAAACAAUAAUUUUGUUAUUUUAAAUUAGUCACCUUUUGAUCUUAAAAAAUUUUAAGAAAAAGCUACUCUAGGGAUAACAGCAUAAUUUUUAUUAAAGCUCUUAUUGAAAUAAAAGAUUGUGACCUCGAUGUUGAAUUAAGGAGUUUGAUUUGUGUAGCAGCUAAUUAAUAUAUAGUCUGUUCGACUAGAAGACCUUA